GUUAUGCACCUUCGCAGGGCUGAAUUAUUCGGGAAAACUUCGUAUCCAGUCGCACUGACUGUAAUAGUCACUAAUUCUAAAUUUAAAAAACCUGAUUUUGAUCAAUUAAAUAAGGAGCCUGGAGAAGACCCAUACGAUAAAAUUAUAAACUACUAUAUGAAAAAGAAAGCAAAGAAAAAAUAUAUUUGACUUCCGAAUAUAACGAUUUUGUGUACAUGUUUAAGCAUAUGAUUCCAUGUUAAACUCCUUUAAGGGAAGAAUAUUAAAGGGGAAGACCAGGAAAUCAUAUUGUGGCCCGUCCUGCAGUAUAAAAAUCUUCCCGUCCGCCUUUUUUACUAGCGUUGUUGGUCCACGGUUCGUUUAAACUUUUGCGAGAAAAGAGUUAUUGUACCA